AGAGUUUGAUCCUGGCUCAGAACGAACGCUGGCGGCAUGCCUAACACAUGCAAGUCGAACGAGACCUCACCUUCGGGUGAACGUCUAGUGGCGCACGGGUGCGUAACGCGUGGGAAUCUGCCCUUCGGUUCGGAACAACAGUUAGAAAUGACUGCUAAUACCGGAUGAUGACGUAAGUCCAAAGAUUUAUCGCCGAAGGAUGAGCCCGCGUAGGAUUAGCUAGUUGGUAAGGUAAAAGCUUACCAAGGCGACGAUCCUUAGCUGGUCUGAGAGGAUGAUCAGCCACACUGGGACUGAGACACGGCCCAGACUCCUACGGGAGGCAGCAGUGGGGAAUAUUGGACAAUGGGCGAAAGCCUGAUCCAGCAAUGCCGCGUGAGUGAUGAAGGCCUUAGGGUUGUAAAGCUCUUUUACCAGGGAUGAUAAUGACAGUACCUGAGAAUAAG
rnacentral:rRNA from 1 species